AAUGAACGCUGGCGGCAGGCCUAACACAUGCAAGUCGAGCGGAUGAAGAGAGCUUGCUCCUGGACUCAGCGGCGGACGGGGGAGUAAUGCCCAGGAAUCCGCCUGGUAGAGGGGGAUAACGUUUCGAAAGGAACGCUAAUACCGCAUGCGACCUACGGGAGAAAGCAGGGGACCUGAGGGCCUUACGCUAUCAGAUGAGCCUAGGUCGGAUUAGCUAGUUGGUGAGGUAAUGGCUCACCAAGGGGACGAUCCGUAACUGGUCUGAGAGGAUGGUCAGUCACACUGGUACUGAGACACGGUCCAGACUCCUACGGGAGGCAGCAGUGGGGAAUAUUGGGCAAUGGGCGAAAGCCUGAUCCAGCCAUGCCGCGUGUGUGAAGAAGGUCUUCGGAUUGUAAAGCACUUUAAGUUGGGAGGAAGGGUUGUAGAUUAAUACUCUGCAAUUUUGACGUUACCGACAGAAUAAGCACCGGCUAACUCUGUGCCAGCAGCCGCGGUAA
rnacentral:rRNA from 1 species